GGGAGACAACGUGGUAGGUAAUUAAGUAUCGUCCGAGAUACGUAUUACGAAUUGAAUUACUCGGAAUACCAUUAUAAUACAAUAAAGGGAAACUAAAUCCAUCACAAAUUGUAGGACAACCUUGAGGAAAAAAAUGGGACACGUGCUGAUGAGAUAACGCGAGGGCUUUGUUUCUCACCCUCGUCAGGAUGGAAUUCUUCCCUUAAAGGUGAUAAUUCAUUUUGAGAAGGGCUUGGGACAUGCGAUCAUCUUUCUCUCUGACCGAGACUUUGGUAGAUGAUACAAGAGUCAUUCCAUCUUUGUCCCAACUUGCGCGAGGUAUUGGAUGUCCUGUGACGGCGCAUUGGAAUCUAACAGUUUCUCCUUCUUCAGCAACACGAUUGUGGGGUAUGGCAUAGAAUUUUGGCGCAGAAGGUAUUCUCGGACGUCGUUCAGUUCUCUGUGUUGGUGAUCGUACUGCGAAUGAAAUACAAUUUCGAGAAUGAGAAAAAAUUAUUGGAAUAUAUGUGGGAAUGAAUCAAUAAAUAUUCGAAGCAAUAAGACGUCUCCUGAUAAUAUCAUAAAUCGUCGUCCAGUUUUUUUAUGCAACAAAGAAAGAGCUGUUCUGGAAUAUUCCAACAGAAGACAAGUAAAUAAAUAAAUACCGUUGCAAUACAAACUUACUGACGCACAGCGGCGAUAGGCUCCGUAUUGGCGUUGACCUUGGAGUUGAAACAGGCGUUGCAUUUGGAGAGAGCAAAUGAAUUGGCUUCUUCAAUCUCUGGCAGGCUGAGGUGGAAGCACUUCCCAGAUCGUUGUAAGCUACACAAACGUAUUCGCCUUCGUCUUCUGGAUAAACGUGUUGUAUGUGCAAUUGUGCCGUUCCAUUCUCGAAAUUAAAACUUAUAUCGUCUUGCAGUGCCACUAACUUUGAAACAAUGAUGAAAUUGGUAUUAUUUGAAUGUUUGAUUGAAGCUUUUGUAUCGAUAAAAAUUAAAAAUUGGUGAAUAAUCAAUGGAUACCACGCGAAGAUUUAUUAUUAAUACAUUUUCUUUAAGCGGAACGAACCCUCUUGAGUUGCAAAGCUACCUUUUUAUCGCUUUUGCUACUUGUUAACUUGACGCGAUUAAAAUUAAUCUAAAAAAUCUGAAAAAAAUCGUGUUAUCCUUUUAUUUAAUGAUCUACCCGCUUGUCAUUGAUUGGGUCAUUCCGAUAAUUAUUCAUCACCUUAUUUCCUUUUUCCCAUCGAAUAUGUGGAGGUGGAGUAGCAUCGACUUUACAAAUGAACGUAACAGCAUCUCCAUCGCAACAUCGAAUAUUCCUCAGCGGGCUCUCAAUUACUGGCAACGUUUGGAUUUCACUGUGAAAGUUAUUAAAACCAAAAAAUUAUUGACGUUUCACUUACAUUUCCAGCAGUACAAAUUCAUACCUUAAUUUUACUGUGUGCUCCCUAUUAAUCUCUUGUCCACUUUCUGGAUCUAUAUAAAGAUAUUUACUAUUAGAGCUAUCAAUUUUCGUUUUCGUUGCUGUCAAAAUUACCUCUCGCAUAAAUUUGAAGAGAUAUUACAGCUUUAGCUUCUCCAAAACAAUUUUUAGCAAUAACUGAGUAAGUUCCUGUGAAAUCCAACUUGGCGUAUGGAAUCUCAAGCUGAUAUUGGGGGCCUAGACCCAUCGGUCGGAAGUGGGGGGCGUCUUUAUAAUAACCAGGCUGAAAAAAACAAUUUUAAAGACCGGUUGAAGUGAUUUUAAAAUCGAUAAAUAUCUUCAAAUUAUUUAUGAGUUACUAAAGCCAAUUAUCCAUUCCCUAAUAAAAUCGUUGUUUCAACCGUUUAUUUGUGUUCACAAUUUAUGAUCACAUGAUCCUCUCCAAGAUACGUUACAUCUCCUCAAACUACGGUUUCAGAUUGCAACCAAAAUAAUUAUGAGAUAGUUACGAAACCCAAUUGCCAUUGCCAAUUGCAGUAUUCAUUUAUUAUUUGCGGAUAAUAUCCGGAUUGUUGAUAAUUAUCUUUUAUUCGAAUAAAACCAUUAUUUCAACAGUUUAUUUGUGUUCGUGAUUUAUGAUCACGUGACCCUUUCCAAAUACAUACUUUACAUAUCAAAUAUCUAAUUGUUAAUAUAAAAAUUUAUAUCUUUUACAUACUAACAGUUUGAGAAUAAACAGAUGAUUGAUUCUACACUGUCAGCCCAUAUAUAGAGAGAAAGUUUUAAACUCUGAAUUCGUAAAUGGCAACUGCUAAAAAUACUACUCAUAUUGUCCACACAAUAUGAAUGAAUGAUGGAGCUAUCAAUACUGCUAUGCCCGAAGGUUUUUUGCAUGUCAUUGAGACAUUUAUCUCCAAGGUUUCACAAAUGUCAUUGUUUCAUCCACAAAGUUGUUCGUCUACCAUUGUCAAUAAUCUUCAUGGCUUACCCUCAAAAAAUCGCGAAGCCAGAACACAUCUGGUUUAGGAUCACCUAUAACUUGACAAAGAAUGAUAAUAUUAUCGCCCUCAUAAGCCUCCGUGGACAGCGGUUUUGUGAUAAAAACGGGCUCUUUGGAAUACCUGAAAAACACAUAAUUAAAUAACAAUCAACAGGUGCAAUGGAAUUAAUUUUAUUCCGCUAAUUUAUUUUACGGCAUACGGUAUGCUUGAAGAUUGUCCAGUUUCCAUCGAUAAUCGAUGGGAAUUAUCAACGUCAUCAUCGUUGGCUGUAACGUUUACUACAGUUUUACUAUCAGCUCGUCCCACUUCAUUUGUCGCUAUGCAGCAGUAAGUACCGGCAUCCUUGUGGGAUAUAUGAGCCAAAGUCAAUUCUACGGUACCAUCACAAUGCAAUGACAUCACUGUAUUUCGAUUGGGACGAAGACGCCGUCCAUUCCGGUACCUGCAAAAGGAGACGCUCUGAUCAGCACCAGCAAUCUUUGGAUCAGUAACGACUUGGACCUUCGCAAAAGUUGAUACUCUUCCAGCAACGUUUGUUGCAUCACAGACAUAUCUGCCCGAAUCACUUUCUCUCACAUCGAGAAUCGACAAAGAGCAUUUUGAAUCGACAUUUUGAACGAUGAAUCUUGAAUUCUGGGUUACAUCGAGUUCAGCGCAGUCCUUGUACCAUCGUAUGUACGGCGAUGAUUUAUGAUUAUUAAUCUGCCCAAUUAGCAUACGAUUACUAUUAUUAUAUUGACAUUGAUCGAUUAACUGUUGUGAUUAGUGUCAACCCACCUCGCAAUCUAGUUGCAAUGUCGUGCCUUUGAGGGCUUUUAAUUGACCUGGUAAUAUUUUUGAAAAUUCUGGAAAUUCCGUCAUCUUCCUUACAGUGACGGAAUUCGUCAUAGUUACGGAUUCUCCCCAUCCAUAACGAUUUCUCGGUGUAAUUCUGAAUUUAUAUUCUUCGCCCGAGCACAGAUUGAAGGCAUCGAACGAAUUAGUUGAUGUUACUCCGAGCUUAAAUACAAAAAAAGCAAAUACAGUCCUUUGAUUAUUAUUUUUGGAUACGAUUGUUCAACGUUUCGUGUCAUUAUGAUUCCUAAAUAUUAACUAUUGCUGGAUGGACAUAGAAAGUCUAGUCGAAUACCUCAGUCCAUUGGGCUCCACCGUCACCACCAAGUAACCAUGCAUCAACUCGAUAAGCAACGAUUGGUGCUUGUCCUCGUUGUUCAGGUUUAUCCCAGGACAAAGCCAACCAGCUAUUACCACCGUCAAUCACUACGGGUUCACUAGAGAUAGGACCCGGUACGACUGCGAACAUUUAGAUGAAAGACAAAUGUUCACAGAAAGUGAUAAUGUUCAAUAUUACUAAUCUGGUUAUUCAGAUCUCAUUGAUACUUCCCAUAGAUGAUUUUUAAAAUUAUAGUUGGAACUGUUGUCAGAACGAUUGAUUGCGUCAAUCGAAACCCUCGGCGAUUGUUUAGUUAAUACUAUCGGCUCAAAAAGUCUGGGCGUCUGAUGUUGCAGGAUUUUUUGGUAUUUUAAAAGUCCAACAGAUGGGAUAAUUAAUUUCUAGAAAGGAUUGAAUUAAUCUAUUGGUUUUUUAUUCGUUGAAGGAUUUUGUAAAGAAGGAAUUUCGUUUUGCGCGUUGAAUUAUUGUUUGUAUAUUUGAAUAUCAUAGUUUCAGAUAAAAGUAAAAUUGUUUUGGAUACAUCGUCCAAGUCACUACUUUUAUUAACCAUAUAACCAAUUUUUUUCGUUGUUUCAAUCGGUCAGCCGUCCACUUUGUUCCCAUGACAAUCACAGUUUCUCGAUCGAAACUGGAUUGAGGUAACACUGAAAUUACGCUGCUAAGACGCUUGAUUUUAACUCCCCAAGACUAAAAUACAAAAUUAUAUUUUGAUUUGUACACUCACUCACUACUGUAAGUUCUGCAAUAAAAUAUAUAAGAUGCAACUUCUGAUCGUGUCAGAAUUUUAGUAAGUCAUUACAAACAGAUCCCUCUACGAGCCACAAUUAAAGAAGAGUUAAAACAAAAAGCCAAAAAAAUGAAAUUUAGAUACUUUGUAAUGGGCAGUAGACAAUUAGCACUCACGAUAAAUAAUAUAUUUACAUUUCAUAUCCGAUAGCUUUGGCUCGUGACUAUAAUUCAGGUACUUGUUCGUAUUCUCGAAGCUCCAUUCUGUUGAUCUUGCUGGUGUCAAUGAUCUUGCACGUUGUCUGACCUAAAGGCAGAAAUCUCAAUUAAUAUAUUAAAAAAUUGAGAGCACUGACAGCAUUACCCUAAUUGUGAAAAAGCUACGAUCGUAGCCGUAACGAUUUUUAACGAGAAUACAGUAUGUUCCUUCGUCCAGAUCCUCAAUCCUCUUGAAUGUAAUCCUAACAUAAUCAUCGUGGCUUUCUUUAUAUGAUCUCGAGCCGUUGGUGAUGUCUACCAACCCCUUCAUCAAAAUCACUAAAAAUAUUACGAAAAUUAGACGCAUUAUGGUAAUAAGCUUCUAUUUAUUUUAUGACAUAGCUAUACCUUUUGGCUUGGGGACUCCACCCACUCUGAAUGAUAAACUGACAUCUUCCCCAACGCAAGCAUUAAUUAAUUUGUCAACAGGACGAGAUAUAAAUAUUGCUGGCUUUCCAUUUUCUUUCAAGUAUACGUAUCCUCCGUCAAAU